rnacentral:rRNA from 1 species
UCAGGACGAACGCUGGCGGCGUGCUUAACACAUGCAAGUCGAGCGAUGAAGCUCCUUCGGGAGUGGAUUAGCGGCGGACGGGUGAGUAACACGUGGGUAACCUGCCUCAUAGAGGGGAAUAGCCUUUCGAAAGGAAGAUUAAUACCGCAUAAGAUUGUAGUACCGCAUGGUACAGCAAUUAAAGGAGUAAUCCGCUAUGAGAUGGACCCGCGUCGCAUUAGCUAGUUGGUGAGGUAACUGCUCACCAAGGCGACGAUGCGUAGCCGACCUGAGAGGGUGAUCGGCCACAUUGGGACUGAGACACGGCCCAGACUCCUACGGGAGGCAGCAGUGGGGAAUAUUGCACAAUGGGGGAAACCCUGAUGCAGCAACGCCGCGUGAGUGAUGACGGUCUUCGGAUUGUAAAGCUCUGUCUUUAGGGACGAUAAUGACGGUACCUAAGGAGGAAGCCACGGCUAACUACGUGCCAGCAGCCGCGGUAAUACGUAGGUGGCAAGCGUUGUCCGGAUUUACUGGG